rnacentral:rRNA from 1 species
AUGAAGGAUCUAGGAGUAGCUGAUGUUAUCUUAAACAUCAAGCUGUUGAGAGAGGAGAAUGGUGGGAUCACACUGCUUCAGUCUCAUUAUGUGGAAAAGGUCUUGAGUCGUUUUGGGUAUAGCGACUGCACGCCUUCUCCAACUCCAUAUGAUGCUACGAGUGCCACGAGGCCUGACAUCUCUUUUGCUAUGAGCAAGCUGAGUCGGUUUGUGUCAAAACCGGGAGAUGAUCAUUGGCAUGCGCUUGAGAGAGUUAUGCGCUAUUUGAAAGGCACCGCGAGCUAUGGGAUUCACUACACUGGGUAUCCAAGGGUACUGGAGGGUUAUAGUGACUCAAACUGGAUAUCUGAUGCUGAUGAGAUUAAGGCCACAAGUGGUUAUGUUUUUACACUUGGUGGUGACACUGCCACUGUUGAAGCAGAGUGGCUUCAUGAACUCUUGAUGGACUUACCUAUGGUUGAAAAACCAAUACCCCCUAUCCUGAUGAACUGUGAUAAUCAAACUGUGAUCGUCAAGAUAAACAGUUCUAAGGACAAUAUGAAGUCCUCAAGGCAUGUGAAGAGGAGACUAAAAUCUGUCAGAAAAUUAAGGAACUCCGGAGUUAUUACGUUGGAUUAUAUCCAAACGUCGAAAAACUUGGCAGAUCUCUUCACAAAGGGUCUAUCACGUAAUGUGAUAGAUAAUGCAUCGAUGGAGAUGGGUUUGAGACCCACC